UACAGAGGUCUCAAGCGUUGUUCGGAUUCAUUGGGCGUAAAGGGUGCGUAGGUGGCGCGGUAAGUCGGGUGUGAAAUUUCGGAGCUUAACUCCGAAACUGCAUUCGAUACUGCCGUGCUUGAGGACUGGAGAGGAGACUGGAAUUUACGGUGUAGCAGUGAAAUGCGUAGAGAUCGUAAGGAAGACCAGUGGCGAAGGCGGGUCUCUGGGCCAUAACUGACGCUGAGGAGCGAAAGCGUGGGGAGCGAACAGG
rnacentral:rRNA from 1 species